UCACUGACUGAGCAGAGAGAGUUUUUACUUUCAUUUUCUUUCCGACCUGGCUCUGCUGCAAUCUGCAUGUACCGUAUGGACUCUGUAGUGUGAGGCUUCUCGCCUGUAAGCGCACAUGUGGCUGACCUACGUUGCCAGGUCUUCUAGAUCAUGUUAGUGGAGCUACCCUUCCCACCAGUAUGACUACAUUCUGCCCCAUUAGCAUCAAACAAACAACUCUGUAUAAUUAAAAUGAUUGAGGCCUGAUUAUGCCGGCAGGUACUGUAGUGUAUAUGCAUCCUAACUCAGCUGCCUCCUGCCUAGGUGCUCUUCCUCCAAAUUCUAUAGCCACAGUAAUGCAUAAUGGUCACAUACUGUAUAGCCCAUAUUCUAUGUUAUAUCUCACUAUGAUUGUAUGGAACUGUUUCCA